GCUGUAUCCCAGCGGCAGAGCAUCUGCUUUGAAUGCAGAAGGUCCCAGUUUCAAUCCCUGGCAUCUCCA